GCUGUUUUUUUAUUUACUCUCUCUAACUUUAGCAAUUCUCUCUAACAUUAGGAAUUUUUAGGAAUCAUGAUCGUUUCGUUGCAACAAAAAAAAAGGUUGCAAAACGCGAGAUCCGAUUGGCCGAAAUUUUAAACGAAAGUUUUUUUUUUUCCUUUUUUUCUUUCUCUGUUGUCGAGAGACGGUGAUGACGAAAACGAAGACAUGCUCUAUGCUUCUGCUGGUGCCGUGGUGCUGCUAUUGAAGGGCGACGUCAAGCAAACUGCCACCGUCGUAAGGUGUAACGUCAAGCACAUCCGUCACUAGCUUGAAGAAGAAUCCUCUGCCGCCUCCAAGUCGGAAGCCGAGGCCAUAAAACCAAAGGAAAUAGAGACAAAGGUUCCGAAGAAGGACAUUCCAAAAGAGAAGGAUUAAGUGUACCACUAUAUAUAAUGGUUCUUUGGAUUGAAGUGGUAGAUUUGAAGAAUUUUUUUGAAAGAAUUUGACUUAAGUAUUAUCUUAAUUGAAUCUAAUAUGUUUCUGAUUUGGUAUUUUGUUUGCAUCGACGAGGAGAGUUCCAGGUAUGUUGCAGGACAACAGUUGGCUCUUGUUUUAAACUCCCUGCUGGUGCAGAGGACAACAGUUGGCUCUUGCGUUCAUUCUGUAUGCUCGCUUCUGGUGCAGAGGUAAAAAGAGCUUUGUCAUACUCUCUUUUUUCGUUUGUAAAUGACAGAGAGAGAAAGAAACUUUAGUGGAUUUUAUGGUUUGUAUGUUUCAGUUAACAAUGGGUUGUAGGUUUCUGUUAUGUAUCUUUGCAUGUAUUUCAGGCAGAAAGUGCUGUUUCUGCAAUUUAUUGUAGUGGUAUUAUCUUGGUAGGGCUUCCAAUAAGGUGAGCUAACAAGAAACAAAUAAGGUUAGUUAAUAAUACUAACUUAUCACUGUGAGAUUAAUAUUUGCUUUGUCUAUGUGUGUGAAAGGGUAAGCCCGUCAAAGACGCCUGUAAGGCCACACUGCUGUGAUGUAAACUAAAGCUUAUCACUAUGUGUAUAGUGUUUGUUACUGUAUUAUCUGGAGUAGGACCUUCACAUUGACAGGAAGGACUUCUAUGGUGGAGAGUCUACUUCACUUUUCGACAAUCAGGUUCUACUCUAUGAAUUUUUUUGAAGAUAUAUGGUCGUAAGGUCGUUUAAGAGGUUUCCUUAUUAGUUUAAGAUAAAUUGUUUGGAACUUGAAAGUGAAUAGUAGAGUAGUGAUAAAAUAACUUUAGGAGAUAAGGAAAAAUAACUUUCUAUCCAUCUGGUUUACAAGCUACGGUCUUCUCUCCACAUAUAACUUUGAUAUUUUAGCAGCAAUAAUGGUAGGGAGAGAGGUACACAUAAGAAGACAAAUCGUUUCUGUUUGAUAUUCUCUGUUUGAUUUACUUAAAUACCCACACAAGUCGAGAAGCUUUUUUCUUUCUUUCUUUGUGUUCGAGAAGCAGAGAGGGUUCCAGAAGCAAUAUAAAGGUUGUUCCUUUUUUUUUAUUUCUCUGAUUAAGUGAGAUUUUAAUGUUAAAAGGGUUUCUAGAUUCGUUGAAUUUUAAAGGGGUUUAUGGUUUUAAGGGCUUCUUAGAAGCUUUUAGCUUCAUUUUGAGAAACAGUGGUGAGGUUUUGGGGUUUUUGUUUCAAGUUCGAAGCUUUAUUUUUUAAGGGAAUUUUGGGUUUUGAAUCUUAUCCAGUUUUGAUCGAAAUCAGUGAGAGUUCUUUGAGUCCUUAACUGUAGUUUCUGUGUACUAAAGUUAUUGACAUGAAAAGCUUUUAUAUUUUGGUUCUUGAACUUAUAUAGUUGAUGUAAAGACUCUCUUGCUCUGGUUUUUUUAGUGUGAUUUGUAUAGCUUUUUGUGGCAGUAGAUUGAAUCAAGGAGUUGAAAGUUUUUAAAGAUUUUGAAAGUGUUUUAGAGAUGGAUUAGAAUAAUCAUGGAGGUUCAUCAAGCUCACUCCCACCUUUUCUUACAAAACAUAUGAAAUGGUUGAUGAUUCUUCAUCGGAUUCGAUCGUCUCGUGGAGUCAGAGCAACAAGAGUUUCAUCGUUUGGAAUCCACCGGAGUUUUCUAGAGACCUUCUUCCGAGAUUCUUCAAGCACAAUAACUUCUCGAGUUUUAUCCGUCAGCUUAACACAUAUGUAAGUGUUGGUUGGUCUUUUGUGUUUUGUUUGUUUGAUUUUGAAUCAGUCAUCUUCUUUGGUUGGUUUAGUUUAGUUUGGGUUUUUGUAUUGUAG